rnacentral:rRNA from 1 species
UACGAAGGGGGCUAGCGUUGUUCGGAAUUACUGGGCGUAAAGCGUGCGCAGGCGGCUUCUCAAGUCAGGGGUGAAAGCCCAGAGCUCAACUCUGGAAUUGCCUUUGAGACUGAGAGGCUUGAGUACGGGAGAGGUGAGUGGAAUUCCCAGUGUAGAGGUGAAAUUCGUAGAUAUCAGGAGGAACACCGGUGGCGAAGGCGGGACUCUGGGCCGAUACUGACGCUGAGGAGCGAAAGCGUGGGGAGCGAACAGG